rnacentral:rRNA from 1 species
UACGUAGGGGGCAAGCGUUGUCCGGAAUCAUUGGGCGUAAAGAGCGUGUAGGCGGUCCGGUAAGUCGGCUGUGAAAGUCCAGGGCUCAACCCUGGGAUGCCGGUGGAUACUGUCGGGCUCGAGUCCGGAAGAGGAGUGUGGAAUUCCUGGUGUAGCGGUGAAAUGCGCAGAUAUCAGGAGGAACACCAAUGGCGAAGGCAGCACUCUGGGACGUGACUGACGCUGAGACGCGAAAGCGUGGGGAGCAAACAGG